UAGGGAAUCUUCGGCAAUGGACGGAAGUCUGACCGAGCAACGCCGCGUGAGUGAAGAAGGUUUUCGGAUCGUAAAGCUCUGUUGUUAGAGAAGAACGUUGGUAGGAGUGGAAAAUCUACCAAGUGACGGUAACUAACCAGAAAGGGACGGCUAACUACGUGCCAGCAGCCGCGGUAAUACGUAGGUCCCGAGCGUUGUCCGGAUUUAUUGGGCGUAAAGCGAGCGCAGGCGGGUCUUUAAGUCUGAAGUUAAAGGCAGUGGCUUAACCAUUGUACGCUUUGGAAACUGGAGGACUUGAGUGCAGAAGGGGGGAGUGGAAUUCCAUGUGUAGCGGUGAAAUGCGUAGAUAUAUGGAGGAACGCCGGUGGCGAAAGCGGCUCUCUGGUCUGUAACUGACGCUGAGGCUCGAAAGCGUGGGGAGCAAACAGG
rnacentral:rRNA from 1 species